GAUUAAGAACGUAGCGAAAUGCGAUAAGUAAUGCGAAUUGCAGAAUUCCAGUGAGUCAUCGAAUCUUUGAACGCACAUUGCGCCCUUUGGUAUUCCGAAGGGCAUGCCUGUUCGAGCGUCAUUAUCACCCCUCAAGCCCUCGGCUUGGUGUUGGACGGUUUGGUGGAGGCCCCCUCGGGGGCUCCUGCCCCUCCCAAAGACAAUGACGGCGGCCUCGUUGGACCCCCGGUACACUGAGUUCUUCACGGGACACGUAUCGGACACAUGGGUUUACGGGACACGGUCUGCCUCCCCUCAGGGAGAAUCUUUCUAAGGUUGACCUCGGAUCAGGUAGGGAUACCCGCUGAACUUAAGCAUAUCAAUAAGCGGAGGA
rnacentral:misc_RNA from 1 species